UUUAAAUGGCCGCAGUAUAUUAACUGUGCAAAGGUAGCAUAAUCAUUAGUCUUUUAAUUGAAGGCUUGUAUGAAUGGUUGGACGAGAUAUUAACUGUUUCAUAUAAAUUUAUAUUAGAAUUUUAUUUUUUAGUCAAAAAGCUAAAAUUUAUUUAAAAGACGAGAAGACCCUAUAAAUCUUUAUAUUUAAAUUAUUAAAUUAAAUUUUGAUUUAAUUCAUUUUAAUAAUUAAUUAUAUUUUAUUGGGGUGAUAUUAAAAUUUAAUAAACUUUUAUUUUUAAAAAUCAUUAAUUAAUGAAUAAUUGAUCCAUUAUUAGUGAUUAAAAAUUUAAGUUACUUUAGGGAUAACAGCGUAAUUUUUUUGGAGAGUUCAUAUUGAUAAAAAAGAUUGCGACCUCGAUGUUGGAUUAAGAAAUAAUUUUAGGUGUAGUCGCUUAAAUUUUAAGUCUGUUCGACUUUUAA
rnacentral:rRNA from 1 species